CCUACGGGUGGCUGCAGUCGAGGAUCUUCGGCAAUGGGCGCAAGCCUGACCGAGCGACGCCGCGUGCGCGAUGAAGGCCUUCGGGUUGUAAAGCGCUGUCGAGGGGGGGGGGUUACAUCUGGAGGAAGCACGGGCUAAGUUCGUGCCAGCAGCCGCGGUAAGACGAACCGUGCGAACGUUAUUCGGAAUCACUGGGCUUAAAGGGCGCGUAGGCGGCUUCCCAAGCCCGGGGUGAAAUCUUUCGGCUUAACCGGAAAAGGGCCUCGGGGACUGGGUAGCUUUAGGGGGGUAGGGGCAAGCGGAACUUCCGGUGGAGCGGUGAAAUGCGUUGAUAUCGGAAGGAACGCCGGCGGCGAAAGCGGCUUGCUGGACCCCUCUGACGCUGAGGCGCGAAAGCCAGGGGAGCGAACGGGAUUAGAUACCCUUGUAGUC
rnacentral:rRNA from 1 species